CUAUAAAGUGAAAUCAUGGCUUUUGCUUCUGUGGUCUAGUCCAUUACCUAUUUACUGAUGGAAGCCUGAAUUGCUUCUUAGAAAAUUUUUUUAUUUGUGUUGCAGUGAUCGUACUAUUAAAGUGUGGAGCUUUGAUGGUGUUUCUGAAGACGUUGACCAAGAUAUUACUCUUAAAUCAAAAGCUGUUGUUGCGGCACAUGACAAGGACAUAAACUGUCUUGCCAUCUCACCAAUUGACAAUCUUGUUUGUAGUGGCUCCGAGGAUCGUACUGCUUGUAUAUGGAGGCUUCCCGAGCUUAUAUCUGUGAUGGUCUUAAAGGGGCAUAAGAGAGGAAUCUUUUCUGUAGCAUUUUCUCCAGUUGAUCAAUGUGUUAUGACGUCUUCUGGUGAUAGGACCAUUAAAAUUUGGGCGAUUUCUGAUGGUUCAUGUUUGAAAACAUUUGAAGGCCAUACUGCUGGAGUUUCUCGUGCUUUGUUCCUUACACGUGGAACACAAUUUGUUUCUUGUGGUUUUGAUGGCUUGGUCAAGUUGUGGACAAUUAAGUCAAAUGAGUGUAUUGCUACUUAUGAUCAGCACGACGAAAGGGU